rnacentral:lncRNA from 1 species
UUGGGAGGAAGGCAUAUGGUAUAUCUGUUUCAUUAGGGCUAAGCAUUAUGCAGCAUGUGCACUUGGUCCAGUGUGGAUCCCUUUGGAAAUCAUCAUCCACUGCAAACAGGAGCUCAUCAGAGAAGCAUCUUAAAAGUAAAGUUUGGAGUAAAUCUACUAUCAGAUUGCACCUUAGUAACAUCAGUGUGGUGCUGAGGAAUGUGGAGCUGUAGAAGAUAAACCCAUCAACAAUUCUGGAAGGAAGAAGAAAGAAGGCAGAGAGUGGAAUCCCGCUCUCUGGGAAGAGGGCUG